rnacentral:misc_RNA from 1 species
CCAAUAGCGUAUAUUAAAGUUGUUGCAGUUAAAAAGCUCGUAGUUGAACUUCGGGGUCUACCCAUUGGUCAGGCUUAAUUGUCUGCACUGGUGAGAUGGAUCUCUACCUUCUGAGGAACUUUCAUGCCAUUUAUUUAGUGUGAUUGGAAAUCAGGACUGUUACUUUGAAAAAAUUAGAGUGUUUAAAGCAGACUAUCGUCUGAAUACAUUAGCAUGGAAUAAUGAAAUAGGACGGACUGAUUCUAUUUCGUUGGUUUCUAGGAUCACCGUAAUGAUUAAUAGGGAUAGUUGGGGGCAUUAGUAUUCAAUUGUCAGAGGUGAAAUUCUUGGAUUUAUUGAAGACUAACUACUGCGAAAGCAUUUGCCAAGGAUGUUUUCAUUAAUCAAGAACGAAAGUUAGGGGAUCGAAGACGAUCAGAUACCGUCGUAGUCUUAACCAUAAACUAUGCCGACUAGGGAUCGGAUGAAGUUAUUAAAAAUGACGCGUUCGGCACCUUACG